rnacentral:rRNA from 1 species
CACCAGCCCCUCGAGUGGUGGGGAUGAUUAUUUGGCCUAAAGCGUCCGUAGCCGGCCGGGUAAGUUUCCCGUUAAAUCCAACGUCUCAAGCGUUGGACCGCGGGAAAUACUGCCUGGCUAGAGAGUGGGAGGGGUAAGCGGUAUUCUGGGGGUAGGGGCGAAAUCCUUUGAUCCCCGGAGGACCACCAGUGGCGAAGGCUGCUUACUAGAACACGUCUGACGGUCAGGGACGAAAGCUGGGGUAGCGAACCGGAUUAGAUACCCCGGGUAUCCCAGCUGUAAACGAUGCAUGCUAGGUGUUGGGUUGGCCACGAGCCACCCCAGUGCCGCAGGGAGCCGUUAAGCAUGCCGCCUGGGAAGUACGAUCGCAAGAUUGAAACUUAAAGGAUUGGCGGGGGAGCACCACCAGGCGUGAAGCCGUGCGGUUU